GGUGAUGUAGUAUAGUGGAAAAUUACGCUGGAAUACUUCAUCACCAGUAACCCCGGUUCGAAUCCGGGCAUCUGCC